GUGGGAGCUGAGUGGCUGCGGCUGUGGCGGCUGUGGCGGCAGUGCGGCGCGGGUGGGGCGGCCCAGCUGGGGGCGUGUGAGGCUGGGCCUGCUUUGGUAAUUCCACAAAGAACCGCUGUCUGAGGAAGUUUAAGGGCCAAAAGGUGCGGUACACCUGUUCACAAGAGCACAGCCCAGCCCAGCCAUGGUUAGCAUCAUGGUGUGGUUCAUUCCUUAAAUGAUGCGCUGGGAUGGUUGCCUUUUUUUUUUUUUAAAGAAUUCAUGAGGAGAUGUAAUGCAGUAAGCUUACUAGGACAGUGGGGUUAAUUUAGGAAGCACUGGCAGCCAUGUAGCCUGAAGUUCUGCAGCAUCUCACGGGGCUCUGGUGGUCUAACAGUGAACAGGUCAUGUUUUUUGUGUGUGGGGGGGUCUCCAUAUAACACUGGAGUCACUCUGGAAGUGGCCCUGUGUAGGCCCAGAGGAAACUAGCAGCAGUCUGUAGGCCUUUAGGGCCCCAAGUGGCUCCUGGUGUGGGAUAAUCCUGCCUUAAGUUCCCAUUGCUAAUGGGUCUUGGUUAGCUGAGAUCUCUCCUCUGAGCAAGGGCUGAGGGAGCUGGGCUUCUGCAGCCUGGAGAAGAGAGUGCUCAAGGGAGACAGCACUGUGGCCUUCCAGUACCUGAGGGGAGCUUAUGAACAGGAAGAGAGCAACUUUUUACUCAUUCUGAUGUUGACAGGACAAGGAGGAGUGGCUUUAAACUAAAAGAGGGGACAUUUAGGUCAGCUAUUAAGGGGAAAAUCUUUCCUCAGAGGGCGAUGAGGCACAGGCACUUGCGAAAAGAGAAGCUGCUUGGAGAAGCUGUGAGUACCCCAUCCCUGGAAUUGCCUAUGGCCAGGCUGGACGGAGUCCUGGGCAGCCUGAGCUGGUGGUUGGCAGCCAAUCCACAGCAGGGCUUGGAACUGAGUGAUCUUUAAGGUCUUUUCUAACCCAGGCCACUCUCAUCUCCCCUGAAUGCCCUCCCUCUCCACUGUUAUUUUUUCCAGGCUGAUGAUCCAG
rnacentral:lncRNA from 1 species